rnacentral:misc_RNA from 1 species
AACGCACGAGACCUGCGGACCUGCGGAAGGAUCAUUACCGAGUUCACAACUCCCAAACCCAAUGUGAACGUUACCAAACUGUUGCCUCGGCGGGAUCUCUGCCCCGGGUGCGUCGCAGCCCCGGACCAAGGCGCCCGCCGGAGGACCAACCAAAACUCUUUUGUAUACCCCCUCGCGGGUUUUUAUAUCUGAGCCAUCUCGGCGCCUCUCGUAGGCGUUUCGAAAAUGAAUCAAAACUUU